ACCGUAGCUCAGCCGGUUAGAGCGCAGGACUCAUAAGCCUGAGGUCACUGGUUCGAUCCCAGUCGGU
rnacentral:tRNA from 1 species